rnacentral:rRNA from 1 species
UACGGAGGGGGCAAGCGUUGUUCGGAAUCAUUGGGCGUAAAGGGCGCGUAGGCGGCCGACCAAGUCGGGUGUGAAAUCCCUCGGCUCAACCGAGGAACUGCAUUCGAUACUGGCUGGCUAGAGUCCGGGAGGGGAUGGUGGAAUUCCCAGUGUAGCGGUGAAAUGCGUAGAUAUUGGGAAGAACCCCGAUUGCGUAGGCAGCUCGCUGAGCCGAAACUGACGCUGAGGCACGAAAGCGUGGGGAGCGAACAGG